rnacentral:rRNA from 1 species
CUGGCUCAGGAUGAACGCUAGCGACAGGCUUAACACAUGCAAGUCGAGGGGCAGCGGGGAUGUAGCAAUACAUUUGCCGGCGACCGGCGCACGGGUGAGUAACGCGUAUGCAACCUGCCCUUCACUGGGGGAUAACCGGGAGAAAUUCCGACUAAUACCGCAUAUGAUGUCUGAACGAAUGUUCGGGUUUUGAAAGAUUUAUCGGUGAAGGAUGGGCAUGCGUGAUAUUAGGUAGUUGGCGGGGUAACGGCCCACCAAGCCGACGAUAUCUAGGGGUUCUGAGAGGAAGGUCCCCCACACUGGUACUGAGACACGGACCAGACUCCUACGGGAGGCAGCAGUGAGGAAUAUUGGUCAAUGGACGGGAGUCUGAACCAGCCAAGUCGCGUGAAGGAUGACGGCCCUACGGGUUGUAAACUUCUUUAGUGCGGGAACAAAUAAAGGCACGCGUGCCUUGUUGAGUGUACCGCAAGAAUAAGCAUCGGCUAACUCCGUGCCAGCAGCCGCGGUAAUACGGAGGAUGCGAGCGUUAUCCGGAUUUAUUGGGUUUAAAGGGUGCGCAGGCUGUCGUGCAAGUCAGCGGUCAAAUGUCGGGGCUCAACCCCGGCCUGCCGUUGAAACUGCAUGGCUGGCGUGAGUGUGAGGUAGGCGGAAUGCGUUGUGUAGCGGUGAAAUGCAUAGAUAUGACGCAGAACUCCGAUUGCGAAGGCAGCUUACCAACACUUUACGGACGCUGAGGCACGAAAGCGUGGGUAUCGAACAGGAUUAGAUACCCUGGUAGUCCACGCAGUAAACGAUGAAUACUAAUUGUUCGGGGGGUAACUCCUGAGUGAUACAGCGAAAGCGUUAAGUAUUCCACCUGGGGAGUACGCCGGCAACGGUGAAACUCAAAGGAAUUGACGGGGGCCC